GACGCUUUAUACUCUUUAUAUAUAACUCAAACAAUACGUGUUUGUUUGUAAAUGAACUUUCUUUGCUGUUCGUGGAAGCUUUUACAACUGCAGGCUUAUUUUGCAUCCGCCUACUCAAGUUUUCAUAACUCUAGAACUGGAAUAUCAAAGUUCGACUCUAAUUAACUCUUGAACAGACCUUUCGAAUUUCCCCGGCCGUCCCAGUGUUCACCCCAAUAUUCGUCAUUUUAAUCAUAGAUUUUCCGAAUUCGACGUUCAAAGUCAAUCCAGCCAAGCCUCUGAUACCCAUAAAUCUCUGCGCAAAGUUCCUCGUUGUACUGUCCUGCCACAAGCUCUGAUCUGACUCCAGAAUUCCCCGUCCAUCUCGAACAUUUUUGAAGAAAGAACGAUCAAAAUUGUUACCGCUCCCGUAGUCCAAAGCGAUACGUUUAUUUCCAUCGCCAUUUUUAGGGCAAAGCGAUUGGAGUGUAGGAAGGAACGAGGGAUCGAUGGUAGGAUCAGCACCCCCGGAGUUUGUGAAGUUGUAUAAUCUGUAGCUCACGAAUUGGCAAGCCACUGUUCCAAUAGUGUGUCCUCCUGCAACACAUUUUUGUACUAUAUGGUUUAGAAUGUUGCAUGCAUGCAGAUAGAAAAAUUUCGGAUGUCUGAUAAACGUAUGUAAUAUUGGCUUAUUGCUUACCAACAAGGGUAACAAGAUCUUGAGCGCUUAGACCAACAUCUGCAAAUUUUUUCUUCUGGACCGCGACUGAGUCUGUGAAACUCGGCAAAUUGGCGGUGUCGGACGCCAAUGACACUCGUCCGUCUCUCCGGCCAGUAGGCACGCGAUAAGUCAGUGCACCGACCUGCAUGUGAAAACAUAAGAACAAUGAGAUGCUGAUAUAACAAUGAUCCUACUUCGAAAUAGCAUAAAUUAUUUGAAUUUUUUGGUUAAAAUCAUAUAUAGCACAUUCGAAACAUUUAUCUUACUUCUACUGUGGCAUCACGAGCAGCAAGAGCAAGAAUAUCAGCACACGACACGACUCCGGGGCAUGCUGCCUCUAGCUGUGUUUUGGCAUCCUCAAUCACUUCAUAUCCUCUCAGCAGAAGAUUUGGCCUAGCGGUUUUCUCAGCAUUGCUGCCAUCGAUAAGAAUCGAAGCAUCGCAACCAUGAACGAAGCAAUCAUGGAAGACCAUUCUGAGCAGUCCGGGGGCAACAGUGGAAUCGGAGUUAACAUGUUUCUUAACGGUGGCUUGAACGAUGGAUUCCGCUCUGGGACAAGAGGUGGAAUAGAAGCCGACCCUAGUCUGAGCUAGAGCUAAGGGUGUGGCGACUAGAAGAACAAAUAGAAUAGAGAGUUUGCUAAGGAAAGAAUCCAUUUGAGUUUGUUAUGUGUUGUUAUAAAUUGAUUGUGUGUUUAGAGGAAACGAAGGUGGUGUAUUUAUAGGGACAUAAAAGUGCUAAAAUGGGCUAAACGUGUGGAGACCAGAGAGAACCAGGGUCAAUGAAAAAUACGUGGCAACGGAUUGGAAAAGUUGUCCACUGGUGAGUUGUAGUCCACUCUCGGGCUGCCCAAGUUGUUUGAUUCGUUGAUUGAUAGAAGAGUCAAAUGAAUGUUCAUACAUGCGGUUGCAUAGUUUAAGUUCAAUUUAUGUCAGAUUUUCUCAGACACGUACUCAGUGGAUUAAUAUUUUGGCAUUUACCUCAUAUAUACAUAAAAGUUUGCUCAGAAACUAAUUCCUUCUUGUAAAUUAUAGAGUAAUAAUUAUUGAUUAGAUAUUCAAAAUUCCAACAAUUAUGGACUUACUCGAAAUUCAUUUUACGGUCUUAAAUCAUCGUACAUGCAGUAUUCUAAAAAUCCCCGAUUUAACCGAUAAAUCCCCUGCAAGGUCGGCCACCGAUUCGAUUUUUUAAAUCCGAUUAAUCCUUAUAUAUAUUCCUUAAUCGAAGUAUAUAUGAUAAAUUAUUAAAAUUAAAAUACUAUAUUACUUUAAGUAUGGUUUAUUAUAGAGUUUAUGAAUAUGGUAAAGAUAUUAGUUACUAAAUAGCUAAUAUAAUAAUAACUAAAUAUUAAAUAAUAUUUUAAUAUAAAAACAAAACCGAUUUUCACUCCGAUUAAUCCUUGCGAUUAAUCUCCGAUUUCCGAUUAAUCCCUGAAUCGGUAGCUCAACCGAUUAAGUCCGAUUCUCGAUUUCUGUAACACUGCAUACAUGUAUAAAUAAUAUCUCUAUCAUUUUUUUUUUAAUUUAUACUCAUUUUAUUCUAUUACAUCCACUCCAACUAAACACAACAUAAUUGUGUGUUUGUGUGUAAGCCUAAUAUUACAACUCUUGAAACAUAAUUUGAAAUUAGUUUUACAAAACUAUAUUUGAAAUGUUGUAAAUCAUUGUGCUUGCGGAAAAUGGUGAAGUGGGAACCGGAAAAGAAGCUUAAAUAAGUGUGAAACGCAUACGCAGGCGAAUACCUUGAUGUUACGUUCUAUCAAGGAAACUAAAGUAAUGGCGAAGCUGUUGCAAACUUAAUUUUGUGUGGAGUAUUAGUACUCCAAAUGGAUAGCGUAAACAUGUUUUCUAUUACAAAGUUGUUAGGGUGUCAAAUACUCCGCUAACACUGACAUGCAUGCAUUCCAUGAUUAAAAAACUAAAAAUUACUAAAAGAGAAGGUGGAAACUAUUGACUCGGGGUUCAGCAAAAGUUUUCAAAAGAGUCAAAGCAAUGCGUGUGGGGUCGCGAAUAACUUACUCUGCAUUAUCAUGAAACUUCCUGCACUAGUAUUUAACUAUUCUUUGUCAAGCCUUCUACUUUACUCCCUCAAUUUGUUUUAUUUAACAUUUUAAUUUUUCACACGUAUUUUCUGGUGAAGUGAUCUGAUAAUAUAAUUAUUUUUAUUAUAUUUUUGCCAAUUAUGAUAUUGAUUAUAUAUUUUUAUUCUGAAAAUUAAAAUUUUGAAUUAUUUUUAGUUAUCUAGUCAGAAUAUUUAAAAAUAUGUAUUAGAAACCAAACGUCGAAUAAAAUAAUAAGAUCGAGCUAUAUGUCUAUCAGGGAGGCAAAAACCGCAUGCUGUAUAUGACUGUUCUCAAAAUCUACGUGCCGUGAUAAUCAAAUAGCGGUUUCGUAAAAGAGUGUGAGAAUAAAUUAAAGAGUUUAAGAAGUAAUUAUUCCAGUUAGUUUUCGAUACCUCUUGUGCAAAAAUACAAAUUUUUGCAUAAAACACAGAACUCCUCAUAUUUAAUUUAGAUGGAAUUAAAACACAAAAUAUAUUGUCUUUAAAUGAUUCUACUGAAUAUAUUUUUAAUCAUCGACAGAUUUUGGGAGGACAAAUUUCAAUCUGAACCCUGCAUCAUUCUUUUGAUCACAAAAGAUAUUAAUCAAAAACUUGUCUUCGUCUUCUCUGUUCAUAAGUCAGCUUUUACGCAACAGCUAUUUCAUUAAAGUUUUCUAAAGAUUAUUCAUGUUCGAUAGAAAAUUAUUGUCAGACAUUUUAAUUCACAAAUUAUAUUUCAAAAAUAUUACUAUUUCAUUUGAAAAUUUUAAAAUGUUAUAUAUAUAUUUCACCUUAAAUAUUUUAUUUGCUGAGUUUUGCAGGACAUCUUAUUCACGAUUACAUAUUUUUCUACUCCAUCACAUGGUUUUUUUGCUUACUUUUUAGUUAAACCAGUCAUUGUGUCCGACAGCAAAACCAACACGGACUAUAGGUAUCGAGGACGAUUUCUCUCUGAUGCUAUAGGUAUAUUAUUUGUGUGUAUGGUAGAAUGUAUAUCUAUUAUUUUUUUUUGUCACUUUAUAUGGCAAUUUUUCUUAGCUGUGAUAAUAGAUGAAAACAUGAGCUGAGUUGCUUUUGAGUUUUGACAUAUAAUGUUCAUGGAGAGUUUCAUGUUAAAUGCCUAAAAAAUGUUUACGGAGUAAGGCUGACAGACUAUAUGCACGUAGUAUGAAAAAGUAAGGGGCGACGGGCGUCAUCAGCUCACCUUCACUACAAUAAAAUCGGGUACUUACGACAGAAAUUCGUAUCUAAAAAACAGCGCCGUCCUUGGAUCCGGCACUUCUCCCUUAUUUUUCAUUUGAAAAAAUAUUUAUAAAAAACUUAUGACAUCGUACUCUAGUAUUAUAAUUAUUUGAUUUUUUCAAUUGAAAAAAUAUUAAAAUAUAUAAAAAGCUUACAACGGAUUCGUUUUUCGUCGUAACAAUUUAAGACGGAACUCUACUAAUCCAUAGUAACUUUAUACGCGUGGUCCCUCAUAAGUUAUCUGUUACUAUAACUUAUAAAUGACUUUAUUUGUUGUAGCGCUUGUCGUAUACCCCGGCCUGGUAUAAUUGGCCCCAUCUCCUUCAUUCUAUGCACCACCGUAUAUUUGACUGAACAGACACAUUGCAUCACCAGAUGCCCCACCAUUCAUGAAAUCCCAGUUUUAGUAGAAUAGCACUCAAAUAAGUGAAUAACUCCACUCAAUCUUGUCAUAGCCUUAGCCAUGUCCAACUUAAACGCCAUAAACCCCUCCUUUCCUGUUCUCUUUAGUUUGUGAUAGUGCAUGACUUCAUAACUUAUAAUUAGAAUAUCUAUCUAGGGUUAAAUUUGUAGUGAUAAAUUAAAAUUAAUUUUUUAAUUAAACCGAUCGAUCACAAAAUUAUAAUGUCUUUUCAUUAUAUUUUAUUUUAUAUCAAUUUUUCAGUAUUUGAAUAUCAAAUUCUUAAAAUCAAAAUUAUUUUAAUUUGUAUAUAUCGAUAUAUACAGAAAUCAAUGAUUACUGGGUUAGUCAUUGAUAUUAUAAGAUUAAAAAAAAAUAUCGUAUACUAUUGGGUUUAUUUCCAUCGCCAUUUUUAGGGCAAAGCGAUUGGAGUGUAGGAAGGAACGAGGGAUCGAUGGUAGGAUCAGCACCCCCGGAGUUUGUGAAGUUGUAUAAUCUGUAGCUCACGAAUUGGCAAGCCACUGUUCCAAUAGUGUGUCCUCCUGCAACACAUUUUUGUACUAUAUGGNUCCCUCGCUUACCUUUAAAUAUUUAUAGUGAUCAGAAUAAAAUCGCUCGAUCAAUAUAAAAUAGUUAUCCCUGUCUCAUCACUUGUAUACGUAUAAAAUAUAAUAAUUUCAUAAUAUAUUUCUAAAAUUUAAUAAAAAUUUGAUGUUUAAACUCAUCAAAAAUUAAAAAAAAAAUUAUUAUAAAACUGUAAUUUAUUGGAGUCUCUAAAUGUGUGCAAAUAGUGAAAGUAUACAUCAAAAUAGAGGGACGAAUAUAAUAGUUUGCACUCACAUUCCGUAAAUAAAUCGAGCAUGUACAAAUUACUCGUUUUCAUCCUAUUUAAAUGAAAUAGGAUGAAAACGAGUAAUUUGAUGUUCACUCUAAAUGAAAUGAGGAUGAUAAUUAAAUAAAAAUUACAAAAAUACUGAGAAAAAGAAAAAUAUUUAAAAUAAAAGUAAUUUAGUUUGAAUGAAUUAACUUUUAUGUGAUCAUGUUGGAAUAAUAGUACAAGAAGUAAAAUUUUAAUUAUAAGUACAUGAUUAGAUCUCUAACUAAAGAUAAUCUGAACUAAAAUGAUAAAAGAAAUGGAAAUUAUAAAUAUGGCCCAGCAAGCAAAGUAUAAAUUGUAUUUCAUUAAGUGACCAUUCCUAAUAUAAAAAUAUAUAUAUAUUGUACAUGAAAAACAUCUGUUUCUUAGUUCUUGAAGACGCUUUAUACUCUUUAUAUAUAACUCAAACAAUACGUGUUUGUUUGUAAAUGAACUUUCUUUGCUGUUCGUGGAAGCUUUUACAACUGCAGGCUUAUUUUGCAUCCGCCUACUCAAGUUUUCAUAACUCUAGAACUGGAAUAUCAAAGUUCGACUCUAAUUAACUCUUGAACAGACCUUUCGAAUUUCCCCGGCCGUCCCAGUGUUCACCCCAAUAU
rnacentral:lncRNA from 1 species